GGCCGGGUCCUGUGCGACUGGGAUCCGUGAACCGAGUCAGGGCCGGGAGGCAGCAGCUCUCAGCGGGCACCCCGGAGCGCCGCAGACCGCCUGGCCGCC
rnacentral:SRP_RNA from 1 species